UACAGAGGGGGCUAGCGUUAUUCGGAAUUAUUGGGCGUAAAGGGCGCGUAGGCGCCAUGCGUGUCUUCCGUGAAAUCCCUCGGCUUAACUGAGGACGUGCGGAAGAAACUGCAAGGCUCGAGUCCGGGAGAGGGGGGUGGAAUUCCCAGUGUAGCGGUGAAAUGCGUAGAUAUUGGGAGGAACACCGGUGGCGAAGGCGGCCCCCUGGACCGGUACUGACGCUGAGGCGCGAAAAGCGUGGGUAGCAAACGGG
rnacentral:rRNA from 1 species